UGAUCAGAGGAGCUGGGCUCCUUGCGAGCUCAACCUAUUCUCAAACUUUCAAUGGGUGAGACGUCUCGCUGGCUUCACUGCAGCGACGACUCUGAAUCCGAGUGCCCAGUGGGCCACUUUUGGUAAGCAGAACUGGCGAUGCGGGAUGAACCGCAUGUCGAGUUAAGGUGCCUAAGCGGACGCAAAUCAGAUACCAUGAAAGGUGUUGAUUGCUCACGACAGCAGGACGGUGGCCAUGGAAGUCGGCAUCCGCUAAGGAGUGUGUAACAACUCACCUGCCGAAGCAAUCAGCCCUGAAAAUGGAUGGCGCUAAAGCGUUCCACCGAUACUCGACCGUCGUCGGCACGCGACCGCUGCCGGUCUCAGGCCACGACGAGUAGGGCGGCGCGGUGGUGAGCGUCGAAGGCGUAGCCGCGAGGCUAGCUGGAGCCGCCAUCGGUGCAGAUCUUGGUGGUAGUAGCAAAUACACAAGCAAGAUCCUUGUGGACCGAUGUGGAGAAGGGUUCCGCGCGAACAGUACUUGGACGUGGGUGAGUCGGCCCUAAGCCAACGGGUAAUUCCCGCAUCCCG
rnacentral:rRNA from 1 species